CUCCCACUGAGAGCUAAUGGAUGAUGAAGAGACACAGCCAAAAUGUCUCUGCAAUGCUCAUGAGCCCUGGCUGUUCUCAGGGAGGGAUUUCUUCCUGGAAAUCCAAAAUCCUGAACCCUCCUCCCUUGGAGAAGAGCAAGAAGGAAGAGCAGAGGAGGAAACUGCUUUGAAUGAAAACAACAUGCACAGUGUGUGUGAGGGGGACAUGACCAAGGGAGGUUCAGAAUUCAGAGGAACAAGAUGAGGAGUACCCGACCAGAUGACAGCCACCAUCCAAAUGGAGCAGCAUGAAAGGAAAAUUACAUGGUGCCCAUUAGGAGAGGAGAAAUAGCUCUAGUGCUGCCACAAAAAGACCUCCCAACGACAGCUCAGUUGAUAGGUGCCACUUCUCAACAGCAGGUCACUGAACUUUCAAAAUUUGUCCCAGACAGAGGGUAAGAAGAAAAAAUCCAGUGUGGAGGCUGGUCUACAUGGGGUACACAUAGGACUUACAGACAGCAGUACUUCUCUGAAGGAUAAGGUUAAAUUUUCUACGACAAUUGUAAGAGGAGCAAAUAACAACACAGCUGAACUAUAAAACUUAUCAAAGUCACUAUCAAAAAAGGGGAAAUGACUGAUCUGUUUUUGUAAAUCAAAGUUGAGCUUCAUUGCUUUUUUACCCUCAAGAGAUCAUUAGUUGCUAUGGAGAGCUUCUACACAAAUAUGAGGUUGUACAUAGAAGUGAGCACCUAUCUUACAAAAAAGUCUGUGAAAACACAAACAUACAUUUCACAGGAGAUCAGAAAGAAUUGUUAAUUUAGGUGAAUAAUGACUGCUAUGUAUAUGUAGUGCAGCUUUAAGAAAAAUAAAGGGUAUGAUUUAUUAAAAUGUGACAGUUGCAGAUAAUAGAUUUGAUUUGCAAGGUAAGUCUGCCAUUGAUAUAACUUUUUGUCAUUUAUCACAACUGCAAUAAAACAAUGUAUAACACAGACAGUGUUUUAAAAAAUAAAUGCAUCAGCUUUAGUAAAAGUAUUAAUUACUAUUUUGUGCCUGACACCAGAACAAUCCGAUUAUCCAUUUUUUCAAGACUCAAAGACAUGUUUUUAAUAAAUCAUCAAAAAGCACACUCUUAGCUUAGAGAAAUAACCCUCUAAGCAGGGAAUUAUCCGGGGUGUUUCUUCAUUUUCCAUUACCACGGUACUCUUUCUGAUUUCCAUCUUGAUUAAUUGGAGCUGAGAUUAUUGUUAUCAUGAAGUCUUUUCAGCUCUUCCUGGAAGGCAAGUGUGUGGAAUAUUGUAUUUCCAUCACCUUAUGGUAAAAACUGUGUAUAAUUUGGGUCUGGAACCUCAACAGAACAAUUACAUUUGUAAGCAAAGAAUCGCAUAAGGUUUUACAGAUAAAUCGAAUAAUGACUGGAUGAGAGCUCUUUCUGGAAUGUUAAUCAUUUUCGUAGUCACUAAUAUGAUAAAUUGAUGAAGGGUAAAGGUUGCACACAUAACUAACGUUACUUACUUAUGAGUUAGGAACAGUUUAAUUCAAAAAGCUCAGAAUACCUCUUUUUAACCAGUAGAAUAUAGCAAUCCCCUUGAUUUUCUAAAGGUCAUGUGUAGAUCGCACAGACAGAAAU
ensembl:lncRNA